CCUACGGGUGGCAGCAGUGAGGAAUAUUGGUCAAUGGGCGUAAGCCUGAACCAGCCAAGUCGCGUGAGGGAUGACGGUCCUAUGGAUUGUAAACCUCUUUUAUAGGGGAAUAAAGUGCGGCACGUGUCCCGCUUUGAAUGUACCCUAUGAAUAAGCAUCGGCUAACUCCGUGCCAGCAGCCGCGGUAAUACGGAGGAUCCGAGCGUUAUCCGGAUUUAUUGGGUUUAAAGGGUGCGUAGGCGGGCUUUCAAGUCAGCGGUGAAAGUCGGGGGCUCAACCCGAGAACUGCCGUGGAAACUGGGAGGCUUGAGUGCGUUUGAGGCAGGCGGAAUGCGUGGUGUAGCGGUGAAAUGCUUAGAUAUCACGCAGAACCCCGAUUGCGAAGGCAGCAUGCCAGGCCGUGACUGACGCUGAUGCACGAAAGCGUGGGGAUCAAACAGGAUUAGAUACCCGAGUAGUC
rnacentral:rRNA from 1 species